rnacentral:rRNA from 1 species
UACGUAGGGUGCGAGCGUUGUCCGGAAUUAUUGGGCGUAAAGAGCUCGUAGGCGGUCUGUCGCGUCGAUCGUGAAAACUUGGGGCUUAACCCUGAGCUUGCGGUCGAUACGGGCAUGACUGGAGUUCGGCAGGGGAGACUGGAAUUCCUGGUGUAGCGGUGAAAUGCGCAGAUAUCAGGAGGAACACCAAUGGCGAAAGCAGCCCUCUGGGACGGUACUGACGCUGAGACGCGAAAGCGUGGGGAGCGAACAGG